rnacentral:rRNA from 1 species
ACGGAAGGCAGCAGUGGGGAAUAUUGCACAAUGGGGGAAACCCUGAUGCAGCGACGCCGCGUGAGUGAAGAAGUUAUUCGUAAUGUAAAGCUCUAUCAGCAGGGAAGAAAAUGACGGUACCUGACUAAGAAGCCCCGGCUAACUACGUGCCAGCAGCCGCGGUAAUACGUAGGGGGCAAGCGUUAUCCGGAUUUACUGGGUGUAAAGGGAGCGUAGACGGUCUGGCAAGUCUGAUGUGAAAGGCAGGGGCUCAACUCCUGGACUGCAUUGGAAACUGUCAGUCUUGAGUGUCGGAGAGGUAAGCGGAAUUCCUAGUGUAGCGGUGAAAUGCGCAGAUAUUAGGAGGAACACCAGUGGCGAAGGCGGCUUACUGGACGAUAACUGACGUUGAGGCUCGAAAGCGUGGGGAGCAAACAGGAUUAGAUACCCUGGUA